UCGAGAAUCUUUAGCAAUGGACGAAAGUCUGACUAAGCGACGCCGCGUGCAGGAUGAAGGUUUUCGGAUUGUAAACUGCUUUUAUCAGGGAAGAAACUUUAAUAGCUAAUAACUAUUAAACUGACGGUACCUGAUGAAUAAGCCACGGCUAACUCCGUGCCAGCAGCCGCGGUAAUACGGAGGUGGCAAGCGUUACUCGGAAUUAUUGGGUGUAAAGGGCAAGUAGGCGGUCUGUUAAGUGAGGGGUGAAAUCUCCCGGCUCAAUCGGGAAACUGCCCUUCAAACUGACAGACUUGAGGUUGGAAGAGGGAAGCGGAAUUAGCAGUGUAAGGGUGAAAUCUGUAGAUAUUGCUAAGAACACCGGCGGCGAAGGCGGCUUCCUGGUCCAAACCUGACGCUAAAUUGCGAAAGCUAGGGGAGCAAACAGA
rnacentral:rRNA from 1 species